rnacentral:rRNA from 1 species
GAUGAACGCUGGCGGCGUGCCUAAUACAUGCAAGACGAGCGAACAGAUGAGGAGCUUGCUCCUCUGACGUUAGCGGCGGACGGGUGAGUAACACGUGGAUAACCUACCUAUAAGACUGGGAUAACUUCGGGAAACCGGAGCUAAUACCGGAUAAUAUAUUGAACCGCAUGGUUCAAUAGUGAAAGACGGUUUUGCUGUCACUUAUAGAUGGAUCCGCGCCGCAUUAGCUAGUUGGUAAGGUAACGGCUUACCAAGGCAACGAUGCGUAGCCGACCUGAGAGGGUGAUCGGCCACACUGGAACUGAGACACGGUCCAGACUCCUACGGGAGGCAGCAGUAGGGAAUCUUCCGCAAUGGGCGAAAGCUUGACGGAGCAACGCCGCGUGAGUGAUGAAGGUCUUCGGAUCGUAAAACUCUGUUAUUAGGGAAGAACAAAUGUGUAAGUAACUAUGCACGUCUUGACGGUACCUAAUCAGAAAGCCACGGCUAACUACGUG